rnacentral:rRNA from 1 species
GACAGAGGUGCCGAGCGUUAGGCGGAAUCACUGGGCUUAAAGCGUGUGUAGGCGGACCGUUAAGUACCUUGUGAAAUCCCACGGCUCAACCGUGGAACGGCUGGGUAUACUGGCGGUCUUGGGCAACCCAGGGGCUGUCGGAACAAGCGGUGGAGCGGUGAAAUGCGUAGAUAUCAGGAGGAACACCAAUGGCGAAGGCAGCUCGCUGGGACGGUACUGACGCUGAGACGCGAAAGCGUGGGGAGCAAACAGG